rnacentral:rRNA from 1 species
GUGGAUUAGAUACCCUGGUAGUCCGCACAGUAAACGAUGAUAACUAGCUGUUUGCGAUAAACAGUAAGUGGCUAAGCGAAAGCGAUAAGUUAUCCACCUGGGGAGUACGACCGCAAGGUUGAAACUCAAAGGAAUUGACGGGGGCCCGCACAAGCGGAGGAACAUGUGGUUUAAUUCGAUGAUACGCGAGGAACCUUACCCGGGCUCGAACGGUACGCGAACGAUCUAGAGAUAGAGAGGUCCUUCGGGACGCGUAUCGAGGUGCUGCACGGCCGUCGACAGCU